AUGAACGCUGGCGGCGUGCCUAAUACAUGCCAGUCGAGCGAACAGACGAGGAGCUUGCUCCUCUGACGUUAGCGGCGGACGGGUGAGUAACACGUGGAUAACCUACCUAUAAGACUGGGAUAACUUCGGGAAACCGGAGCUAAUACCGGAUAAUAUAUUGAACCGCAUGGUUCAAUAGUGAAAGACGGUUUUGCUGUCACUUAUAGAUGGAUCCGCGCCGCAUUAGCUAGUUGGUAAGGUAACGGCUUACCAAGGCGACGAUGCGUAGCCGACCUGAAAGGGUGAUCGGCCACACUGGAACUGAGACACGGUCCACACUCCUACGGGAGGCAGCAGUAGGGAAUCUUCCGCAAUGGGCGAAAGCUUGACGGAGCAACGCCGCGUGAGUGAUGAAGGUCUUCGGAUCGUAAAACUCUGUUAUUAGGGAAGAACAAAUGUGUAAGUAACUAUGCACGUCUUGACGGUACCUAAUCAGAAAGCCACGGCUAACUACGUG
rnacentral:rRNA from 1 species